AUUGAACGCUGGCGGCAGGCCUAACACAUGCAAGUCGAGCGCGCCCUUCGGGGUGAGCGGCGGACGGGUGAGUAACGCGUGGGAACGUGCCCUUUGCUACGGAAUAGCCCCGGGAAACUGGGAGUAAUACCGUAUGUGCCCUUCGGGGGGAAGAUUUAUCGGCAAAGGAUCGGCCCGCGUUGGAUUAGGUAGUUGGUGGGGUAAUGGCCUACCAAGCCGACGAUCCAUAGCUGGUUUGAGAGGAUGAUCAGCCACACUGGGACUGAGACACGGCCCAGACUCCUACGGGAGGCAGCAGUGGGGAAUCUUAGACAAUGGGCGCAAGCCUGAUCUAGCCAUGCCGCGUGAUCGAUGAGGGCCUUAGGGUUGUAAAGAUCUUUCGUGGGGGAAGAUAAUGACUGUACCCCAAGAAGAAGCCCCGGCUAACUCCGUGCCAGCCGCCGCGGUAAUAC
rnacentral:rRNA from 1 species